GUCCGCGUCGGCGAUCCGGGGUCUGGGCGCGGCGAGGUCUGGUGUGGCAGAUGUGGAUAGCUGGACCCUCCUGGGUGCCUCUGCGUUAUGUCGUUUGGUUGAUGCAUUUGGAGAGAAUCUGUGCUCUCCACAACUGCAGGGGCAACAUGCUUUCCUGGCCUCUUCAGAUCAGGGUGGCUGUUCUUGGGUGCUGCACCAAAACUCCAGCAGUGGGCUUUCUUCAAGUGGCCGGCUCACCUCAUUCCUGCCAAGACCCAGGUCCGUGUUCUCACAGUGCUGCCAUCUUUCCUCCGUGUGAGCGUGGGCUGUGCGGAGAGUGGACCUCGGUGUGUGCGGGGCUGCGUGCACUGCCAUCGCUCCCUCUACACGAGCCGGCGUGGACCCAGGGCUGAGCUGUGACCACGAGGGCCAUCCCGACGAGCCGCCAUGGACCCAGGGCUGAGCUGUGACCAUGAGGGCUAUCCCGACGAGCUGCCGUGGACCCAGGGCUGAGCCGUGACCAUGAGGGCCAUCCCGAAACUGUGAUUGUUUUCUGAUGAAGAAACCAAGGCUUUGUGACUAACUCAACCCCUCAAGAAGGACAAAACUAGCAUCAGAGCCCCUUGCUCCUGGGUCUGGCAAGAAUGCCUCUUGUUUGCUGAGAGGUCCACAGAUUUACCCGGCUCAAGACUGGGAGAUGGGAGGUGACCAGGGUCUCGGUCUGUCGCCCAGGCUGAGUGCAGU
rnacentral:lncRNA from 1 species